CUGAAUAUGAAUGUUAUAUGCGUGCCAGCGGGAAAAAAAUUGUCGACAAGUUUUUAGCCCUAUUGAAAUUGCCUAACUUUUGAAUACGAGUUGCCCCACCCCCCAGCACUAUAAAACAUUGUAAACUUCUCACUUGUAAUGUUUAUGGAAACGAAUUAGAGAAUUCGUAUAAGAUGCUUUAUAAUCAAAUAAUAUGCAGGUGUUGGGAAUUGGCAACAAAUUGACUUGUGUUGACAUGGACCUGAAUUUAGCAACGUCGCUCGCUCGCCUUUAGCCGGCUCCCUAAGAAACCACCCUUUGUGUGAGUGAAACGUUAACAGGAGUUACUCCACGUGCAAUUAAGCGGUAGUUUUACAUAGAAAUGAAUUCGAAAUUACUUUUAUUCGAUAUCUUCACAAUCCAAUGAUUAAAAUUGCCAGCAUUUCCAGUCAAUUCAGACUCUAAAUUUCAAGAGUAAACGUACAGUACACCACGUUAAAUAAAGUCUCUUUAGAAAAUCCCCCCCCCCGGCCCCCGAAAAUCCUUAAAAAGGCCCUGAUUUCUGCAACAUUUCGUUGUUUAAUUAAAACGCUCUUUCACGCCUACCCUGGUUCAGACGCCAAACAUGACGACAUAACCCCCUCCCUUUAAGUAACGCAUCCUAUCCGAAAAAUCGCCCUCUCCACUGCGCUUUAUUACAUCUAAGGGACGACCAUUAGAUAUUUGAGGGGGGGGGGGGCAAUUUUUCUGUGCACGAAUUUUUUUUCAUCCCCAAAUUGCUUGCAAGAAUUUUUUUUCGGCAACAAUCCUUUGCACGAUAUUUUUUUUAGACGACCUAAAAAAUUUUUCCCGGAAAAUUCUCCGAAAAGUUCGUCGACGGGGGGGACGGGGGGGGGGGAGAAGGCAUAUUUUUUUUCCGAUUGUCGUAAAAACACCAUUUUAAUGUUUUAGAAUACUUGCAAUACGAUUUUUAAAAAUCAACCCUAUUUCUUGCUCGAUUUUUUUCCAAUAGGUUUGUUGUGCACGAUAUUUUAUUUUUGAUUUUUUCUGUGCA